rnacentral:rRNA from 1 species
GACGUAGGGCGCGAGCGUUGUCCGGAUUUAUUGGGCGUAAAGAGCUCGUAGGCGGCUUGUCGCGUCGACUGUGAAAACUCGGGGCUCAACCCCGAGCCUGCAGUCGAUACGGGCAGACUAGAGUGCUGUAGGGGAGACUGGAAUUCCUGGUGUAGCGGUGAAAUGCGCAGAUAUCAGGAGGAACACCGGUGGCGAAGGCGGGUCUCUGGGCAGUAACUGACGCUGAGGAGCGAAAGCGUGGGGAGCGAACAGG